rnacentral:rRNA from 1 species
AGUGAACGCUGGCGGUAGGCCUAACACAUGCAAGUCGAACGGCAGCACAGUAAGAGCUUGCUCUUACGGGUGGCGAGUGGCGGACGGGUGAGGAUUACAUCGGAAUCUACUUUUUCGUGGGGGAUAACGUAGGGAAACUUACGCUAAUACCGCAUACGACCUACGGGUGAAAGCAGGGGAUCUUCGGACCUUGCGCGAUUGAAUGAGCCGAUGUCGGAUUAGCUAGUUGGCGGGGUAAAGGCCCACCAAGGCGACGAUCCGUAGCUGGUCUGAGAGGAUGAUCAGCCACACUGGAACUGAGACACGGUCCAGACUCCUACGGGAGGCAGCAGUGGGGAAUAUUUGACAAUGGGCGCAAGCCUGAUCCAGCCAUACCGCGUGGGUGAAGAAGGCCUUCGGGUUGUAAAGCCCUUUUGUUGGGAAAGAAAAGCAGCAGGUUAAUACCCCGCUGUUCUGACGGUACCCAAAGAAUAAGCACCGGCUAACUUCGUG